rnacentral:rRNA from 1 species
UCGGGAAUUUUGGGCAAUGGGCGAAAGCCUGACCCAGCAACGCCGCGUGAAGGAUGAAGUCUCUCGGGAUGUAAACUUCGUAAGAAUAGGAAGAAUAAAUGACGGUACUAUUUGUAAGGUCCGGCUAACUACGUGCCAGCAGCCGCGGUAAUACGUAGGGACCAAGCGUUGUUCGGAUUUACUGGGCGUAAAGGGCGCGUAGGCGGCGUGGUAAGUCACUUGUGAAAUCUCCGAGCUUAACUCGGAACGGUCAAGUGAUACUGCUGUGCUAGAGUACAGAAGGGGCAAUCGGAAUUCUUGGUGUAGCGGUGAAAUGCGUAGAUAUCAAGAGGAACACCUGAGGCGAAGGCGAGUUGCUAGGCUGACACUGACGCUGAGGUACGAAAGCUAGGGGAGCGAACGGGAUUAGAUACCCCUGUAGUCCCUGAGCGGGCUGGCAAGGCGCAU